GGGUGGGCCACACUUGAAGAGCUUUCCUCCAGGCAGUCUCUCAUUCAGUUACCCUGUGAAGGGAGUAGGUACCACCCUCCUUUCAGGCAGCGGGAAACUGAGCUCAGACUCCCCUCCCCUUCUCUCUGAGCUCCCUUCCCUGCAGCUCCAUCCCCUGGCUUCAGGGCCCCUGCCUGCCCUUUCAGCUCUGUGACCCGGGACAAGUCACCCUCUCCCUUUGAGUUGCCGCAAGAGGUACAGUCACACUGCCCAGAGGAUUACUAGAAAUGACAGCUGAUCCCCCCAGAGGAAAUGCAUCAUGGGAAGAUCCUGUGAGCUGGUCAUGAGUAAGGGGCAUCUGGGGGAGGCCCUGCCCCACCACAGGGCCCUGCCUGGAGAUGGGAGCCUCGUGGUAUGGGCUGGAUAGGGAUGUGAGAGUCGAGAUUUGGGGUCUGCAGCAAGGAAUCGGGUAAGGGGGUGAGGUGUGCCAGUGGCCCUGGGCCAAGUAAAUCAAGACUGAGUGGCUGGUCAGGAGAACAACAGUGGACUUCAUGGGAGCUGAACUCAUUGGCAAAGUGCCCCCGGAGAGUGCUGGCCACCCCACAAACACACACACCCCAUGCACACCCUCACUAUGCACCCUCCUUCCCAGGCACCAGCUUCCUUCUUUGAGAGUCAGUGCAGGUCACUGGUUAAGGCGUGGGUUCGGGAUCUAAUAUCUGGGGCCAAGCCUUAGCUCCAUCGCUCUUUUUUUUGGUCACCUAAGGUAGAACUCUUCUGCAACUGGGACUUGUUUUCUACCAGAGAGUUUGGUGAUCCUUGAGGAUUUGCAAUUCUCCUGAGCUCAGGGCAGUUCUGAAAUAGGUCUCCAAGUACAGUUUUUUAAAUCCUGAUUCCACACUAAGUAUGAAAACAUGAAUUAGUCAACAAAAAUCAUGUUGGUAUUUUCGCCCUGCAUCUUCAAGCUCAGCAUAUUAAAACAUCACAUCAGGUGCACACCUGUAAUCUCAGCUAUGCAGGAGGCUGAGGCAGGAGAAUUGCUUGAGCCCAGGAGGCAGGGGGGUGCAGUGAGCCAAGAUUGUGCCACAGCACUCCAUCCUGGUGACAGAGCGAGACUCCGUCUCAAAAAAACCCAAAAAACCAAAAACCAAAAAAAUCAAAACCCAUCACAUCAGGAAGGGACUACAUGCCUGUGAGCCACUGGGUUUCUUAGUCGGAUGGAUCUCUCAGAGCUCUGGGAUUACAAAGCUUUAAUCCGAGGAAGUUACUGAGUAAAUAUCUUCAUUUCACAAUUUAUAUUUUUUCAUACUUUGUUUCAACUUCUUUCCUCUCUACCUAUCACAUCUGGACUGAAGAAGGGAAAGGCCUCUGAGUGAUUCUCCAGUCUGUCUUUGCUCACUAUGGUCAAGAUGAGGGCUCAUGCUGAGAUGGGAAGCUAUGAGAAUGGACACCUUGAUCACUGCAUCCAUUCAGACAUGAUGCCUUGAAAAACAGUUGGUCUGAGAGUUGUUGAUACCCAUACCCAAUCUGCAUGAGAGAGAGAUUUUAUCCUGAAGCCACUAAGAUUGUUGGAGUUGUAUGCUACUGAAGCAAACUAUUUCUUCCUUCUUUCUUUCUUAUUUUCAUGAAAAAUGUCACUGAUGUUUAACAGCUAACCCCUUAUAUACUUCCUAUGUACAUGUUGCAUUAUGCUAGUCACGGGCCCAAGUUGAUUCUUAAAUAACCCUGUUAGCCUUGUCUUAGGAGGUGGAGGAGGUAGAUCUAGUGCUUAAGUGGAUUGGCCUUGGCCGACUGCAUAGACACUUCACCCAAAUACAGAAGAGAAAGAAGAACAUGAGAGCAUAUUUUCAGGAAUGUAGAAAAUGUUGAGCUGGAAGCAUGUUCUCUUUUGAUUGCUUUAAUUUUCUCAGUGCAGCAAGGAUGUCAUUGGCUUAGAAUAAGAAUGGAGAAGGAGGUUUUGGAAAUCUGAGGAAAGAGAGGAAAUCAUGAAAUAGUCACCUAGGAGAGUGGGAAAGAAUGAAUUAGAGAAUUUAUUAGAAUGGAUUAUUGCAGAGAAUGGAUUCAAGAAAUACAGUAUGAUUGCUAGGUAGCAUUAGGAGUCCUUGGUGAUUGUGGUGAUUGUACAGUGAUAGCGUGACCAGUCACAGUGGAUGUGCUGCCCUCCCAUGUCUUUCAGCUGUACAGAAGCACACAUGGAGUAUAUGCACAGGAGGAUUUAAUCAGGCUUUGGUUUUGCUAGUAUGAUAAGGGAAAGAAGAGCAUGGUAGUUGACUGAUUAUAAUGCUGGGUCACACAGCAUUGGCAAUUACAAGAUCAAGGCUGUGAUCAUGGGAGUGAGUGUCUUAGUUUGAGUGAAGGGAAACAUUAUGAGAGGACAGGGGGAGAUACAGGAAUGAGAAAGUCCUGUUUUUGUGAAUAUUGACAUUGCCGAGAGUUAAGAAAGGAGAAAGGUUGGAGAGCAUGACAAUGAGCCAGUGGCAAAAAAUCUUCAAGGAAGAGAAACCAAUAAAUAAUAUAAAUGUUAAGUUGCAUUAUAGAGGAAAUUAGUAAGAGGCAGAGAUAGAAGAUAAGGAUGUAUACGGGAGCCUGCUUUAGGUAGGGUGGUUAGGGAAAUUAUCUGUGAAGAGAUGAACUAAAGUUGAUACCUACAGAAUGAAAACGGAGGAUGUAAACAUGCCAGGCAGAGGAAACAACUGCAUAUGCAAAGGCCCUGAGGCAAGAAGGAGCUUAUUCCAGGACUUACAGAAAGAUUCUUGUGGCUGGAA
rnacentral:lncRNA from 1 species